AUUGAACGCUGGCGGCAGGCCUAACACAUGCAAGUCGAGCGAGCGGCGGACGGGUGAGUAAUGUAUGGGGACUGCCCGAUAGAGGGGGAUAACUACUGGAAACGGUAGCUAAUACCGCAUACUAUCGGAUAACCCAUAUGGGAGUAGCUAGUAGGUGAGGUAAUGGCUCACCUAGGCGACGAUCCCUAGCUAGUCUGAGAGGAUGAUCAGCCACAAUAGGACUGAGACACGGCCCAGACCCGUACGGAGGCAGCAGUGGGGAAUAUUGCACAAUGGGCGCAAGCCUGUUGCAGCCAUGCCGCGUGUAUGAAGAAGGCCCUAGGGUUGUAAAGUACUUUCAUUCGGGAGGCGUUACCGACAGAAGAAGCACCGGCUAACUCCGUGCCAGCCGCCGCGGUAAUUC
rnacentral:rRNA from 1 species